rnacentral:rRNA from 1 species
CGAGUCCGAGGAGCUAAGGCUCCAAAGUGAUGCGAGUCAGACUUCCCAGAAAAGCCCGAACCACGUUAAUUUCUAAUUACCUGUACCCGAAACCGACACAGGUGGGUAGGUAGAGUAUACUAAGGGGCGCGAGAUAACUCUCUCUAAGGAACUCGGCAAAAUGACUCCGUAACUUCGGGAGAAGGAGUGCCUUAUUUAUAAGGUUGCAAUAACAAGAUCCAAGCAACUGUUUAUCAAAAACACAGGUCUCCGCUAAGUCGUAAGACGAUGUAUGGGGGCUGACGCCUGCCCAGUGCCAGAAGGUUAAAGAAGUUGGUUAGUGUAUGCGAAGCUGAUGACUGAAGCCCUGGUGAACGGCGGCCGUAACAAUAACGGUCCUAAGGUAGCGAAAUUCCUUGUCGGGUAAGUUCCGACCCGCACGAAAGGCGUAAUGAUUUGGAUACUGUCUCGGAGAGAGGCUCGGUGAAAUAGACUUGUCUGUGAAGAUGCGGACUACCUGCACCAGGACAGAAAGACCCUAUGAAGCUUUACUGUAACUUGAAAUUGGAAUUGGACUUUGCUUGCGCAGUAUAGGUGGGAAGCGUUGAAGAUAUUCUUGCGGGAGUAUUGGAGCUAUCAGUGAGAUACCACUCUUGUAAUGUUAGAUUUCUAACUUUGAACCAUAAUCUGGUCAAAGAACAGUUUCAGGUGGGCAGUUUGACUGGGGCGGUCGCCUCCCAAAUGGUAACGGAGGCGUACAAAGGUUUCCUCUGAACGGAUAGAAAUCGUAUCUAGAGUGUAAAGGCAUAAGGAAGCUUGACUGUGAGACCUACAAGUCGAGCAGGGACGAAAGUCGGUCUUAGUGAUCUGACGGUACUGAGUGGAAAGGCCGUCACUCAACGGAUAAAAGUUACUCUAGGAUAACAGGCUGAUCUCCCCCAAGAGUUCACAUCGACGGGGAGGUUUGGCACCUCGAUGUCGGCUCAUCGCAUCCUGGGGCGGUAGUACGUCCCAAGGGUUGGGCUGUUCGCCCAUGAAAGCGGUACGCGAGCUGGGUUCAGAACGUCGUGAGACAGUUCGGUCCAUAUCCGGUGUAGGCGUUAGAAUAUUGAGAGGAGCCUUCUUUAGUACGAGAGGACCGAGAAGGACACACCGCUGGUGUACCAGUUAUCGUGCCAACGGUAAACGCUGGGUAGCUAUGUGUGGAGUGGAUAACCGCUGAAAGCAUCUAAGUGGGAAGCCCACCUCAAGAUGAGUAUUCUCA